CUCCUUACGGGGGAGACAGUCAUGAGACGUGAGUAUAAGACCUGAGUGUAAAGACCUUAGGGUGAAGCAAUUGGAGGGCAAGCUUUGGUGCCAGCAGCCGCGGUAACUCCAACUCCAAGAGUGUCUAUGGUGGAUGCUGCAGUUAAAGGGUCCGUAGUCGUGAAUGCAAUUAAAUGUCGUUGUUCAAUAGCGAUGAGUUUGCUAAUGUUUGCGGAACGGAUAGGGAGUGUAGUAUAGACUGGCGAAGAAUGAAAUCUCAAGACCCAGUUUGGACUAACGGAGGCGAAGGCGACACUCUUAGACGUAUCUUAGGAUCAAGGACGAAGGCAGGAGUAUCGAAAGUGAUUAGACACCGCUGUAGUUCCUGCAGUAAACUAUGCCGACAGCCUGUGUGUGAGAAUACGUGGGCGGGAGAAAUCUUAGUGUUCGGGCUCUGGGGAUAGUACGCUCGCAAGGGUGAAACUUAAAGCGAAAUUGACGGAAGGACACUACCAGGAGUGGAUUGUGCUGCUUAAUUUAACUCAACGCGGGAAAACUUACCAGGGUCAAGUCAUUCGUUGAUCGAAUACGUGAGAAUGGCAGGA
rnacentral:rRNA from 1 species